UACAGAGGGUGCAAGCGUUAAUCGGAGUUACUGGGCGUAAAGCGUGCGUAGACGGUUAUGUAAGUCAGAUGUGAAAGCCCCGGGCUCAACCUGGGAAUUGCAUUUGAGACUGCAUAGCUAGGGUGCGGAAGAGGGAAGCGGAAUUUCCGGUGUAGCGGUGAAAUGCGUAGAUAUCGGAAGGAACACCAGUGGCGAAAGCGGCUUCCUGGUCCAGCACCGACGUUCAGGCACGAAAGCGUGGGGAGCAAACAGG
rnacentral:rRNA from 1 species